AGGGAGUUAUGCAUAGAGCUUGAGAUGCUCUGCCGACCCCUAUGACUUCACUCAGACGUGGGUGGAUGGAGCUCCCAGACGUGGGAGACUUAUGUUUGGUGGUCAUUCAGAAAUGGAUGUACCAUAUUAUGUUAUGGUCCCACUUCACCUUCUGUAUGCUUGAUAUGGUAUCCAGAGCUUUGGUUAUGUGUUUCUAUACAUGCUUUGGAUAUGAAUGAUAUGAAUGCAAUGUCAAAUUCGACAUUUAAGCUUCUGUUUCGUAUUCAUCUUUGAAAUGCUCCGAAAUGGUCCAUACACCAUUGAUAUAUUCCGAAAUAUUUCAUUUAUCAUUGAUAUGCUUCGAAACAUUUUGUACGCCUUUGAUAUGCUCCAAAAUGUUUCAUUUGUUAUUGAUAUGCUUCAAAAUGUUCCAUAGGUUGUUGAUAUGCUCCGGAACAUUUCUUAUGCUAUUGAUAUGCUCCAAUUACUCUAAGCUCCAUCUGUUAGGAACCAAAUAUGUUUGAUUGAGUUGACAUUUGUGAUUCUGCCCUAAUGAGAUUACGUCUAUGAAUUAUUAUAUUCUUCCUUGCAUUUUGAAACCUUAUUUGUUUGGAAAUUGCCCUCUUUUACCAUGGAUAUGUUAGUCACUUGCUGAGCUUUAUAUGCUCACCCCGUUGUUGUAUAAAUUUUUCAGGAUAGCUUGUCGCUCGCUUAAAUGUUAAGGUUGGGCUGAGGCAGUGGAAAGCUAAAAGAUUUUGGGCAGAUCUUUAUUAGUAUAUAUGUUUUUGUUGUAUAAGCACACUCUGCAUCUAAUGAAAUGUUGACGAUGAAUCUAAACUUGUGGAUUUUGUAUAAGUUUAAAGGACCUCUCGUGUCUAGGAUUCUGGAAUGUUAAGUUUAAAUCGUGUAAUGAUAUGAACUUAUGGUAAAUGUUGGUUUUGUGAUUGUAUAGACUCCUAUACUUGUGAAUUUAUGUUGUAGUUAUUAUUUUGGUGAGUUGGGUUCAAAUUUUAUGAAUAAUCGAGCGAUGUGUUGUAUGUUUAUGAACUGCAUAGGGUUUAUAAAUUUAUAGAUUAUAGAGGUGAAAUUUUGAUCUGAAUAUUUUCUUAGUGACCUCAAAUGUGUGAUUAGAUCCUGGAUGGAUUUGUGUUGAAAAAAUUUUAAUAUCAUGGAUAUUAUUUGAGGGGGCAUGAUAGAGGUGGUAUCAGAGCAUGGUUUGAGGAUCACUGAAAUAUUUGAUAUGUUGACGUGCGAAAUAUAUUGAGGCCUAAUGAACUAUAGUGAUUGGUGAAAAUUUUCUUUGAUGCAUUUUAGGAAUCUGGGAUGAUGAGGACAUUUGGUCCUCCUAUUUCCUUUGUUUCUGAUUAAUUAAGGGGAAUGAAAGGAUUGAUCGGGGAUAUUGAAUCAGAGUGGCGCAGCAGAAGCAUGAUGAACCUAAUUUCAUUGGUGGUAGAAAAAUGGAUGAUGCAAACAGAGAAGAUAUUUGGUGUACAAAAUUGUUCUGAUGAUCAAAAGAUUUCUUUUGCCACCUUAUAUUGGAAGUAGAGGCCGAUCAUUAAUGGGAACAAUGAAAAGAAUUUUUGAAGAUCAGUGGCAAGAAUGAUAAGGACAAGUUUACCAAUAAAAAUAUGAUUGGAAAUGAAUCAGAAAGUAAUAACAAGAAGGUCAAGACAUUUGGAUUUGAAAUGGGAAGUCACCACAAAAGACUCAAUUAUGUGUGAAUUACAAGUUAAAUUAUGAAACAAGUUUGUGUUUUCGGGUGACUAAAGUUUAUUUUGCUUGUGGAAAGUUGGAUCAUAAAAUAAAAGACUGCCCCUUGAACAAGAAAAAAGAGUCACUGCCUCAUAAAUCAUCAGCCCAUGUCAGAGUGUAUGCUAUCACUAAAUAUGAUUCUAAAGCUUCUGAAUUAGUGAUCAAAGGUAUUUUGCAUGUUUAUGAAAGAAUACAAAUAUUUGUUGGACCAUGGGUCCUAUCUACGAUUUGAUUCGUAACAUGUUGCUUAUCACUUGGGUAUUCAACCUAGACCACUACAUUAUGUGAUAUAUGUAAAUACAAUCGUUGGAGAUUCUUUGAUAACGAACUUGAAUCUGGUCCUCUUAUCUGAUUCUUAUUGGAGAACUUGAACUUUUUGCUGAUUUAGUUCUCUUAGAGAUUUGGAGUUUUGAUAUUAUACUUGAUAUGGAUUGGCUAUCUUCUUAUCAUACCAGUAUGGAUUGGUAUAUAACAAAUGAUCAUUUUUUGCAUAUUUGAUCAGCCGAUCUUUUAUUUUAAGAGUAUUGGACAUGAUUUAUCUCCUUAUCUAAUGUAUCCCAGGAUGAUUUGCCCGAAUUACCUCUAAAACGUGACUUUGUUUUUUAUUUGGUCUUUGGGACAAUCCCAAUAUCUAAGCCUCUCUACAGAAUGACAUAAUUUGAGUAAGUAGAAUUACAGAAGCAACUACAAGAAUUAUUAGAUAAGGGUUUUAUACGACCCAGCGUAUCUCCAUGGGGUGCUCCGGUACUAUUAGUGAAGAAAAAGGAUGGAACAUUGAGGCUUUGUAUUGAUUAUAGACUGUUGAAUCAAGUGACCAUCAAAAAAAUAAGUAUCCCAUACCCAGAAUUGAUGAUUUGUUUGAUCAACUACAGGGUGCACAAGUAUUCUCUAAGAUUGACCUGAGGUUAGGUUACUAUUAGUUGAAGAUCAAGGAGAAGGAUAUUCCAAAAAUAGCUUUCAGAACUCGAUAUGGUCACUAUGAAUUCUUGGUGAUGCUUUUUGGUUUGACUAAUGCCCUUGCAGCUUUUAUGGAACUAAUGAAUAUGAUAUUUCAACUGCUCUUGGAUGGCUAUGUAAUUGUAUUUAUUGAUGACAUAUUGGUGUAUUCAAGGAGUAACCAGGAGCACGAGGAACACUUGAGAAAUGUAUUAUCCAUACUAAGAGAAAAGAAGUUUAUUGCAAAGUUGAAUAAAUGUGAAUUGUAGUUGAAUGAAGUUGCUUUCUUAGGCCAUGUGAUUUCAGGGAAGGGUAUAUCUGUUGAUCCAAAGAAAAUAGAAGCUAUAGUUGAAUGGGAAGUACCAACAAAUGUAAUAGAAAUUAGAAGCUUCUUGGGCAUGGCAGGUUAUUAUAGGAGAUUUGUGGAGGGAUUUCUCGAAUNNNNNNNNNNNNNNNNNNNNGGUAGUAAGGGAUUUGUAGUUUAUACUGAUGCUUCAAGAAAGGGUCUCGAAUAUGUUUUAAUGCAGGAAGGGAGAGUGAUUACUUAUGCUUCUAGACAACUAAAAAGUUAUGAACUGAAUUAUCCAACUCAUGAUUUGGAAUUGGCAAUAAUUGUUUUUGCUCUAAAGAUUUGGAGAGAUUAUUUGUAUGGUCGGCAAUUUGAAAUUUUGACUAAUCACAAGAGUUUGAAAUAUAUUUUCACUCAAAAAACUUAAACAUGAGGCAGCGAAGAUGGAUAGAACUUCUAAAGGAUUAUGAUUGUGUCAUCCGUUAUCACCCGGGCAAAGACAAUGUGGUAGCUGAUGCUCUUAGUAGAAAAUCUACAUGUUUUAUGGCUAGUCUGGUCGUGAAGCAAAGGAAGUUAUUAGAAGAAAAUUUUGAUUUGAAUGCUAUGAGAAAAGAGCAAGACUCAAUGAUAUUGAUAGCCUCCAUUUAGGUAUAAUCUGAUCUUAUUCAACAAAUUAAGGAAGGACAAUUACGAGAUCCACAUUUAAUCUACUUGAGGAAUGAAGUAGAAAAGGAAUUGAAGCCAAAAUUUCAAGUAACAAAUGAUGGCCUAUUGAGAUUUGGGAAUAGAGUGUGUUUACCAAAUGAACCAGAUAUCAAGAACCAAAUCCUAAAGGAAAGCCAUAAUUCAAAGUACACCAUGCAUCUUGGGAGCACUAAGAUGUAUAGAGAUCUCCAAAGUCAUUAUUGGUGGGAAGGCAUGAAGAAGGAAAUUGCAAUGUAUGUUUCAAAAUGUUUGACUUGUCAGCAAAUCAAAGUAGAACACCAAAGACUUGGAGGGUUGUUGCAACCUUUAGAUAUUCCAGAAUGGAAAUAGGAAUGUGUUACCAUGGAUUUUGUUUCAGGACUACUGAGAACCUCUAAAAAGCAUGAUGCUAUUUGGGUUAUCAUUGAUAGGUUAACAAAAUCUGUACAUUUCCUACCGAUUAAUAUGACUUAUUUUCUUGAUAGACUUGCAGAUUUAUAUGUCAAUAAAAUAGUAAGACUUCAUGGUAUUCCAAAGGAGAUCAUCUCGGAUAGAGAUUCUAGAUUUCUCUCUAGAUUCUGGAGAAGAUUAUAGGAAUCUAUGGGCACUAAAGUCAAGUUUAGUACUAAAUAUCAUCCUCAGACUGAUGGUCAGUUAGAAAGAACAAUUUAAACACUUGAGGAUUUACUUAGAUCCUAUGUUAUGGAUUGGAAAGGUGAAUGAGAUAAAGAUAUUUCACUUAUUGAGUUCACUUAUAAUAAUAGUUAUCAUUCAAGUAUUCGGAUGGCUCCUUAUGAAGCUUUAUAUGUGCGAAAGUGCAUAACACCUAUAUGUUGGGAGGAUGUUGGUGACAGAAAGUUGUUAGCACCAGACAAAGUACAAGAAACUACUGAAAAAAAAAUUCAAGUUAUAAGGAAAAGGUUAAAAACUGCUCAGAGUCAUCAAAAGAGUUAUGCUGACAAUAGAAGACGAGAUAUUGAGUUCGAGGUUGGAGAUUUUGUGUUCUUAAAGGUUUCUCCUUCCAAAGGCAUUAUAAGGUUUGGGAAGAAAGGAAAGUUAAGCCAAAGAUUUAUUGGACCUUUUGAGGUUCUUGAGAGGGUUGGUUCUGUCGCUUACAGGAUUGCCUUGCACAAUCAUUGUGCCAUAUCCAUAAUAUAUUUCAUGUUUCGAUGAUUAGAAAGUAUAUAUCUAAUCCUUCUCCUAUCAUUAAGUAUGAGCUAAUGGAGAUCGAUAAAGAUUUAUCUUAUGUGGAAGAGCCUAUUCAGAUUGUUGAUAAGAAAGAAAAGAUCCUAAGGAAUCGGGUCAUCCCUCUGGUUCAAGUAAUUUGGAGGCAUCAUUCUGGAGAGGAAACAACCUGGGAGCUAGAGAAGGAAAUGAAAAAGGUUUAUCCCCAUCUUUUCAUCGAUAGAGGUAUGAUAAAUUUAGAGGACUAAAAUUUUCUUUUGAGGGGGGGAGAGUGUAACAUCCCUCAUUUCUGAAUUUUCGUAUAAGUUUCUAGUUGUAAUGUACGUAUCUAUUUUAAAUUUGAUAAAAGAGCCAAAGUAUAAAUCUGAGAAUUUAUUCAUAAGAUUUGGGGGAUUUGUUCAAAAAGAAAAAAAAAAAUCUGAGGACCUAUAUGUAAACCCUGAGGACCUAAUCGUAAAUAUAAUAAUACAAGGACUAAACUGCAAAAUACACAAAAAAUACAAAUCCCAUCGUUUAAGCCUCUCUGCCUUCAUUCUUAAGGAACCAGAGAAGGCAACUGCGUGGAAGAACAGAGAAAGAAAGAAAGAAGAAGAGAAAAAAAAUGGGGAAAAAGAAGAAGAAAAAAUUGGGGCUUUGAGGUUUCUUACUCAAAUCAUCUCAAUUGGGGUCAUAAUUCUCAAAGGCAAGUGUUCUAACCCUAUCCUACAGAAGUAUUAGUCUCUAUUCAUAUAUUGAUUCUGAAAUAUUUCUGCUUAGAACCUGAUAUUCUCUCUUUGGACAUAAAACCAAGGAUCUGGAAUUUUUUUUCGGUAAACUGUUCCCUAUACACUGUUUUAGGCAGGACCUAGCUCGUUUGAAAUUAGAUUCUUAUAUCUUUCUUUUGACACUGAUUUUGUAGAAUUUGGACACCGAAUACUUAUCUAAACGUCUGUUUCAAAUGAGUCUAUAUAUGCUGCAGAACAGGGAUCAAAAUUUUUGACCUUUCGAUACUAAAAUACCUAUAAGUCCCUGUUGGAAAUUUUGAUUUGUACCAAACUGACUUCAUUCAAAACUAAACUUGCAGACCUUUCUUUUAACAUAUAGAUUGAAAAAUUUAGAAUUCAAAUACCUAUCCUAUCAUCUAUUGAAUCCGACCCUAUGAAUUCUGUAAAACAGUGAUUUUGUUUUUGACCUUGUGUUACCAAAUCAAAGGUAACUCCUUGUUGGAAACCAUGAUUCGUACGAAGUUUGUUUCAUCAGAAAAUAGAUUGGUAUAUCUUUCAACAAUAGCCUUCUUAAGGGUAUUGGAGCAUAAUUAACAAUCUGAAGUAUUUAUCCAAUGUGCCUCUCGAAUUCUGUCUGAAAUCGAGCUUUGAUCGAUUUCGCAUCUUCUGUUUUCAUUCGUUUGGAAAUAGAUUUUAUUCAGUUCCCUUCAAUCAAUUGUGGCUUAUAUUAAUGCUUGAAUUCUUGUUUGAUCUUGUCUAUAAAUUAUUUCCAUUCCUGAACAUAUUGUGUAGCGUUUAUGCUAUAUCACAUUGACUUAUAUAGGCACAUGUAUAUCCCAUUGUUCCGCAUUUGCUUUUGAUAUGUGCCUAUUCUAGUUUCAUUCCUUUGGAUAUCGAAUUCAUCUAACCUUCUUAUUUGGAGUUGUAUGUGAUUGCUUGGAUUCCGUGUGUGCCCUUGCUUUCAUUUCCUUUCAAGUCUGAUUACAAUGGUGAAAGAUUAUUGAUUACUUCGUAUUGACUCGUAAAGGCACAUGUACAUUUGGUUGUUCCGCGUGUGCUUCCGAUAUGUGCUAUUCAUUGUUCAUACUAUCCUUUUGUACUCUGGUGUUUGUGGGAUAUUGUGAACCUUCGCUAGAAAUUGUGAAGGGAGUUAUGCAUAGAGCCUGAGAUGCUUUGUCGGCUCCUCUGACUUCACUCAAACGUGGGUGGAUGGAGCUCCCAGACGUGGGAGACCUCCCAGACGUGGGAGACUUAUGUUUGGUGGUCAUUCAGAAAUGGAUGUACCAUAUUAUGUUAUGGUCCCACUUCACCUUCUGUAUGCUUGAUAUGGUAUCCAGAGCUUUGGUUAUGUGUUUCUAUACAUGCUUUGGAUAUGAAUGAUAUGAAUGCAACGUCAAAUUCGACAUUUGAGCUUCUGUUUCGUAUUCAUCUUUGAAAUGCUCUGAAAUGGUCCAUACGCCAUUGAUA
rnacentral:lncRNA from 1 species